AGCGGAACCCGAAUUCACGAAAGCUUUCUCCGGGCUUCUUCCCAGUCCUCAGUAAUGUGAGACGGCCAGGGACUAUCUCGAGAUUGUAUUGGAAGAGAGAUAAAUACAAUCAAGGAAUUUACACAUAGUAUCUCUUAACUGCGUCAAAUUGAAAGCCAUGUCAAUGCAUCUUCCUUCGAAAUCCGUUAAGAGACAUGCGAAAGCCUGAGCUAGAUCGUCCCAGGUUUACCACCUGUUGGGAUCCUGUCUGGUAUACCAUUCCAGGGUUGAUCCACUUGAGCUCUGGCCAAAGUAAGCUAUUAGUAGCUCAUCUUUGGCGCCCGCUCCUCUCAUUUUGCUACAGAAACCCUGUAAAUGUGCCAUAGGAUCGUCACGCCCUUCAUAUAGAUCGAACUUUGGCAUCUUGAACCCUAACGGCAAUUGGACGUUAGGAAAAAGGCAUAAAUCCUUGUAUGCUACGCGGACUUGGCUGCCUAAUCCAUGCAUGUUCCUGAAGUUUUACUCCAGGCUUCUAACUUUCUGCAUUACCUCAUCCUAUUCUGGAUUCCUGGCUUGCUUUUUACUCUCCGCAGAGACCUCAAAUUGGGAAUGUUGGAUAUGUGGUUCGGGUGUUUUAAAUGCGGGUUCUGGGGGAUAAUAUUGUGCCCCGUGAGCCUGAAACAACAUCCCACUAGUGGAUCUUUGCAGCGUGGCUGGUGGAGGUCCCAUGAAAACGGGCACAUUUAGAGGUGGCUGAUUCGGGUUGGGUGGUGGAGCGUGGGAGUCAUAGGGGUUUCUUCCCUGGAAGUAGUGCUGACUCGGGAAGCUUGUUGAAGGGCCAGGGUGAGAGUAUUCUGGCAUGUGCCUAGGUGGAGGAGUAGGAGUAAUAGGUGAUUCAGACCCCUUUUGCACUUUAGCCAAGGCCAACUUCAUUGCAUUCAUCUCCAACCCCAUUUUCUCUAUCUUUUCCAAGGCUUCUUUUAGCAACUGUGCCUCGGGCCUCUCUUCCUCAACAUAGUUCUCAGAAUUGGUCAUGCUUUU
rnacentral:lncRNA from 1 species